AGGGAUUGUCCUGACAACUUGUGGGGAUAGAAGGGCUCACAGGGCAGGGGUCUCAGCUGCCCCCAUCCUUAGGGCAGGGGAGUUAGUGUGGAGCCGAGAGCAGGUCCCAGCUCCCCCUGCCAGCCGCACUGUCCCAGGCCCAGGGACCUCUGCCGGGUCCUCCCAGCCCUUGCCACACAGCCUAGACGUAGUAGCCUGGGCUUCCAGCAGGUGGCGAGCUGGUUCGUGCUGGAAAUUUCUCCUGGGUUUCUUGGGGUCAAACAUGCCAACCUCCAAGACCCCAUCCUCACGUCUCCCACUUUUCUGGCGCUGGAGUGUGCAGGGCGUAGGACCUGCAUGUGUGGGUGUGAGAAUGGGGGCGGUGGACACCAGGGGGCGAGUGUGUGACUAGGUGUGUGUGCACAUGUGUAGGGUGCAGACGCAUGGGUGCCAUCCUUUGCGUUCAGUGACUGUGCGUCCAGACCCCUCACCAGCGGCCCCCCCACCACACCCUGGUCCUCCCAGGCAGCUGUCCCAGGGCGCCCAGGCCUGCCUUGCACCACAGCCCUCAGGAAAUCCGGCAAGGAGGCCCCUGCAGGUUGGUUCAGGCCCCCAGGUAGCAAAACAGAGACAACAGCAGCCCCGCCUGACCCCCUGCCCCUCUCUGUGGAGGCCCGGGACCCCCGCAAUAAGCACCACAUGGGUGAGGCUGUCCCUGUCAGGGUCCCCUGCCAGGGUCCCUCCUGGGGUUCUGGGCCAUUUGAGGGGCUCUUUGAUGGGCCAGGCCGGCCAGAGUGAACUCCGAGCACUUUCUGGCUGGUGCCCCAACCUCUCCACUCCCCACUCAUUCCCACCUUGAAAAAGGGCUAUAGGUCCCCUGCCCUGCCCGGGUCCAGUUUACAAACAGUGUGGGGUGGCCCCAGGGCCUGGCCCCACUCUCCCUGCUGUGCCCACUCCUCUCCAGACUCCACCUCCCCAGUGGGUAUGGGCCCUCCACAUGCCAGGUAAGUAGCAAACCCCCACUCCCUCCAAGGACCAGGUCUCAGAGAAGGCCCUGGUCACUGCCCCCGGCCCACCUGGAGCCCAUCGGGGCUGCCUCUCCCAGCCGCGACUUCUCCUUUUGCCUUAGGCCUCGCGACAUCCUGAUCUCUCCUGCAAUAACUAGGAAUCGAGAUUCCACAGUAGACGUCCCUUGCCGUGCUCGCUCUCUCUCUCGCGCGCGCUCUCUCUCUCCCUCUCUCUCUCUCUCUCUCUCUCUCUCUCUCUCUCUCUCUCUCUCUCUCCUCUCUUUCUCUCUCUCCCUCUCUCUGUUAAGAUCCUGUUCGGGAGUUUCCCCAGCCGUUGUAGUAUCUAGUAUGUUAGAGUUGGGAGGGGACCAUAGUUAUGUAGCCCAGCCCCCUCAUUCCCAGAGGCACCCAGAGGGCCAGCCUCCAGCCUGACCCCAGAGCAGAACCGGAACACCAGGUUGGGGCCCUGGUGCUGCCACCUCCUCUGCUGGUCGGGCUGGGACCCUUUGCCCCUUAGGAGAGGUGUUGGUCACAGAUGUUUACCUCAGUUUAUGUCACUGUCGAAGAAACAAAAAAUAAUAGCAAAAAAUAACACUGUAGACAUGAAGACUUAGAAGACAAAAAAAAAAAAAUCACACAAAAAAUCUCCCUUGUUGCGAUUCUUCUGUGAAGGUACAGUGUGUAUGUGUGUAUGUGUGUAUGUGUGUGCGUGUCUCUGUCCCAGACCCUGUGUCCCCCACACUGCCCCCUGUCCUUCGGUGCUUCCCAGAGACCCCUCUGAGCUGGCCUGUGGGGCACGGGAAGCCCCCUGGAUGGGAGGCGGGGCCACAGGUCGGCUAGAGGGUCUCCACCAGGCCCACUGAACAGAACCCCACGGCUGCCAGAAUGUUCCCUGAGCCCACACUGUGGCCAGUGGGACAGUCCUGGUGGCUGACAUCAGCGUCCAUGCUUGGCUCAGGGCCUGGGGCGGGGUCCUGGGUAGAGUCCUAGCCCCAGAGCCCCAGCCCCUCAUGUCUUGCCGCCCUUCCUCCAUGUGUUUGUAAAUACUCUGGCAUCCUUUGGCCCUGAGAAGGUUUUUAAAUGUGUUAUUUACUUCUCUAAACAUGACGAUUGCUAUAAAAAUAAACAAAAGUUUAGAAAAAUGA
rnacentral:lncRNA from 1 species